UUGAUUAUGGCUCAGUAUUGAACGCUGGCGGCAGGCCUAACACAUGCAAGUCGAGCGGUAACAGGAAGGAAGCUUGCUUUCUUUGCUGACGAGCGGCGGACGGGUGAGUAAUGCCUGGGAAUAUGCCUUAGUGUGGGGGAUAACUAUUGGAAACGAUAGCUAAUACCGCAUAACGUCUUCGGACCAAAGAGGGGGACCUUCGGGCCUCUCGCGCUAAGAUUAGCCCAGGUGGGAUUAGCUAGUUGGUGAGGUAAAGGCUCACCAAGGCAACGAUCCCUAGCUGGUCUGAGAGGAUGAUCAGCCACACUGGAACUGAGACACGGUCCAGACUCCUACGGGAGGCAGCAGUGGGGAAUAUUGCACAAUGGGGGAAACCCUGAUGCAGCCAUGCCGCGUGUAUGAAGAAGGCCUUCGGGUUGUAAAGUACUUUCAGUCGUGAGGAAGAUUAUACAGUUAAUAGCUGUGUGAUUUGACGUUAGCGACAGAAGAAGCACCGGCUAACUCCGUGCCAGCAGCCGCGGUAAUACGGAGGGUGCGAGCGUUAAUCGGAAUUACUGGGCGUAAAGCGCAUGCAGGCGGUCUGUUAAGCAAGAUGUGAAAGCCCGGGGCUCAACCUCGGAACCGCAUUUUGAACUGGCAGACUAGAGUCUUGUAGAGGGGGGUAGAAUUUCACGUGUAGCGGUGAAAUGCGUAGAG
rnacentral:rRNA from 1 species